rnacentral:rRNA from 1 species
GACGAACGCUGGCGGCGCGCCUAACACAUGCAAGUCGAACGAGAGAUGAGGAGCUUGCUCUUCAAAUCGAGUGGCGAACGGGUGAGUAACGCGUGAGGAACCUGCCUCAAAGAGGGGGACAACAGUUGGAAACGACUGCUAAUACCGCAUAAGCCCACGGCUCGGCAUCGAGCAGAGGGAAAAGGAGCAAUCCGCUUUGAGGUGGCCUCGCGUCCGAUUAGCUAGUUGGUGAGGUAACGGCCCACCAAGGCGACGAUCGGUAGCCGGACUGAGAGGUUGAACGGCCACAUUGGGACUGAGACACGGCCCAGACUCCUACGGGAGGCAGCAGUGGGGAAUAUUGCACAAUGGGGGAAACCCUGAUGCAGCGACGCCGCGUGGAGGAAGAAGGUCUUCGGAUUGUAAACUCCUGUUGUUGAGGAAGAUAAUGACGGUACUCAACAAGGAAGUGACGGCUAACUACGUGCCAGCAGCCGCGGUAAAACGUAGGUCACAAGCGUUGUCCGGAAUUACUGGGUGUAAAGGGAGCGUAGGCGGGAGAACAAGUUGGAAGUGAAAUCCAUGGGCUCAACCCAUGAACUGCUUUCAAAACUGUUUUUCUUGAGUAGUGCAGAGGUAGGCGGAAUUCCCGGUGUAGCGGUGGAAUGCGUAGAUAUCGGGAGGAACACCAGUGGCGAAGGCGGCCUACUGGGCACCAACUGACGCUGAGGCUCGAAAGUGUGGGUAGCAAACAGGAUUAGAUACCCUGGUAGUCCACACCGUAAACGAUGAUUACUAGGUGUUGGAGGAUUGACCCCUUCAGUGCCGCAGUUAACACAAUAAGUAAUCCACCUGGGGAGUACGACCGCAAGGUUGAAACUCAAAGGAAUUGACGGGGGCCCGCACAAGCAGUGGAGUAUGUGGUUUAAUUCGACGCAACGCGAAGAACCUUACCAAGUCUUGACAUCCCUUGACGAACAUAGAAAUAUGUUUUCUCUUCGGAGCAAGGAGACAGGUGGUGCAUGGUUGUCGUCAGCUCGUGUCGUGAGAUGUUGGGUUAAGUCCCGCAACGAGCGCAACCCUUAUGGUCAGUUACUACGCAAGAGGACUCUGGCCAGACUGCCGUUGACAAAACGGAGGAAGGUGGGGAUGACGUCAAAUCAUCAUGCCCUUUAUGACUUGGGCUACACACGUACUACAAUGGCGUUAAACAAAGAGAAGCAAGACCGCGAGGUGGAGCAAAACUCAGAAACAACGUCCCAGUUCGGACUGCAGGCUGCAACUCGCCUGCACGAAGUCGGAAUUGCUAGUAACCGUGGAUCAGCAUGCCACGGUGAAUACGUUCCCGGGCCU